rnacentral:rRNA from 1 species
AUUGAACGCUGGCGGCAGGCCUAACACAUGCAAGUCGAGCGAGCGGCGGACGGGUGAGUAAUGUAUGGGGACUGCCCGAUAGAGGGGGAUAACUACUGGAAACGGUGGCUAAUACCGCAUACUAUCGGAUAACCCAGAUGGGAUUCGCUAGUAGGUGGGGUAAAGGCUCACCUAGGCGACGAUCUCUAUCUGGUCUGAGAGGAUGAUCAGCCACACUGGGACUGAAGCACGGCCCAGGUUCCUACGGAGGCAGCAGUGGGGAAUAUUGCACAAUGGGCGCAAGCCUGAUGCAGCCAGGCCGCGUGAAUGAAGAAGGCCUUAGGGUUGUAAAGUACUUUCAGCGGAGAGGCGUUAACCGCAGAAGAAGCACCGGCUAACUCCGUGCCAGCAGCCGCGGUAAUUC